rnacentral:rRNA from 1 species
CACUAUGGCCACGCCACCCUGAACAUGCCUGAUCCCGUCUGAUCUCGGAAGCUAAGCAGGGUCGGGCCUGGUGGGUCCUUAGAUGGGAGACCACCUAGGAAGACCAGGUGCUGUAGGCA